UGUGAUGGGGUGGGUGUGGCCUAGCUUCCGUGUGAUGGGGUGGGUGUGGUCUAGCUUCCGUGUGAUGGGGUGGGUGUGGCCCAGCUUCCGUGUGAUGGUGUGGGUGUGGUCCAGCUUCCGUGUGAUGGUGUGGGUGUGGUCUAGCUUCCGUGUGAUGGGGUGGGUGUGGUCUAGCUUCCGUGUGAUGGGGUGGGUGUGGCCUAGCUUCCGUGUGAUGGGGUGGGUGUGGUCUAGCUUCCGUGUGAUGGGGUGGGUGUGGUCUUAUUGUAGUUGUUGUGGCCUGUUUAACUGAUGUGCCUGUGAGCGUGGUCCUUUCUGAAGGCAGGCAGGGUGGUGGGGUGAGAGGUGAGGUGCCUGGUGAGAGAGACUGGGCGAUAGGAGGGAAGAAGAGAAACUGCAUUCAGGAUUUAGAUGUGAGAGAAAAAUUUUUAAAAGGUGUCACUUUAGUGACUCCAAAUCCUAUUUUUAAUGACGGUUCUUAAACGCUUUAACCUCCCUUGUAGCCCACCAUGCAUCAGAGGUAGUGGAAAAGAAAGGAUAUGGGAAAAGUGGACCUGUUUAGAAAAGCUUUUUUGGAGCAAUUCCUGUCUGUGUUGUUUGGAAAUAGGCAGUUCAAUUCACAGGUUAGCAGUGGCAGCUCGAUCCACUCGCAAACACUUUACGGAUACACCAGCCGUCCAGUUUGGUUGAGUCGGGUUAGAAACAGUGGCGACAUGACCUAGCAGACAGCCAGGCCUUAGCCUUGGCUGGAGUCAACAAGAGCAACCAGGAGGAGCACCAGAAAUUCUCUGCUGUGCGUCUCUCAGAGAAGCGAAGGUCAGAGAAGUGAGAGCUGCAAGCAUCAUACAGCUAGCUGUACCAGCAAGGCAAGCCAGAGUCCACAGAGUCCUCACAAAUGCAGCUCAACUACACAGUGUAAGGCGGACCAAUACAUGCAUGUUGUUGGCAAAGCCUCCUUCACAAUGUAUCCUUUCUUCCUUUAGCAGAACGUCCGCUCUCCUGUGUCUGCUUCAGCGUCCUUUGUGAGUCUACCUUAGUCUUUCACCUGUAUCCAGUUUAAGAAAAACAACUCCUUCAGGCAUUUGCCCCAGCAAAAUACCAUCCAACACAACUGACUUUCCAAUGAAAAAAUAUGUUGUUAGCCUAAACAUUUGAAUUUAAGACAAUCACUGUAUUUCACUUGUGAGUUAUCUGAAAUACAAAAAAAAAAAAAAGAAGAAGAAAACAAGGAAAAAGUUAAAAAAUUUAACAAUGAUCUAAAGUUUGAUUUGAUUAAAUUUAAUUCCAGUAAAUUGCCAAAUAUUGCUUUCUUCAGUAUAUUCAGGUAUGUGCUUAAUUUUCUAGAUCUUACAAGCUAAAAUGUCUUAGUCUGCAGUUAAGUCUACAGCUACAUAGGACAUUAACAAACAUAGGGCCAAACUUGGUUGUAGUGAAGCUCAUAAUUGCCUCCUUUUCUUUUCCUUUGUUUUUUAAUAGGCAUGGACUCCCGACAUUCAUUGGGGAUCACUGGUGUGAGAAAGGAGAGUCCAGUCCUGUUGGGGAACAGGCUUGGUCUGCUCAGAGAUCCAACAACCUUGAAUGAUAGUUUUAGAAGCUUUGUUGUCGUGGUGUUUAAAAUUAGCCUGGAUGUCUUCUAGCACAUUCUCUGUAAUUAAAAUUCAUGAAGCCAGUGAUUUCAUACGUAUUGGAUCUUCCUCCUACCAAAUGACCAUUUGAUUUCUAUUUACAACUAUAAGACUAAUUUCAUUAUAAACAACAACAACAAAAAAAAAAGAAUGAUCAUCAAGGACCUCCACAUCAAACCAGAUACACUCAAACUAACAGAAGAAAAAGUGGGGAAGCAAAGAAAAUUUCCUGAACAAAACACCAAUGGCUUAUGCUCUAAGAUCAAGAAUUGACAAAUGGGAUUUCAUAAAACUGCAAAGCUUCUGUAAGGCAAAGGACACUGUUGUUAGGACAAAACAGCAACCAACAGAUUGGGAAAAGAUCUUUACCAAUCCUACAACUGACAGAAGGCUUAUAUCCAAAAUAUACAAAGAACUCAAGAAGUUAGACCGCAGGGAGACAAAUAACCCUAUUAAAAAUGGGGUUCAGAGCUAAGCAAAGAAUUCACAGCUGAGGAAUGCCGAAUGGCUGAGAAAGACCUAAAGAAAUGUUCAACAUCUUUAGUCAUAAGGGAAAUGCAAAUCAAAACAACCCUGAGAUUGCACCUCAGACCAGUAAGAAUGACUAAGAUCAAAAACUAAGGUGACAGCAGAUGCUGGCGAGGAUGUGGAGAAAGAGGAACACUCCUCCAUUGUUGGUGGGAUUGCAGACUGGUACAACCAUUCUGAAAAUCGGUCUGGAGGUUCUUCAGAAAAUUGAACUACCUGAGGACCCAGCUAUACCUCUCUUGGGCAUAUACCCAAAAGAUGCCCCAACAUAUAACAAAGACACAUGCUCCACUGUGUUCAUAGCAGCCUUAUUUAUAAUAGCCAGAAGCUGGAAAGAACCCAGAUGCCCUUCAACAGAGGAAUGGAUACAGAAAAUGUGGUACAUCUACACAAUGGAAUAUUACUCAGCUAUCAAAAACAAUGACUUUAUGAAAUUCGUAGACAAAUGGAUGGAACUGGAAAAUAUCAUCCUUAGUGAGGUAACCCAAUCACAGCAAAACACACAUGGUAUGCACUCAUUGCUAAGUGGAUAUUAGCCCAAAUGCUCGAAUUACCCUAGAUGCACAGAACACAUGAAUCUCAAGAAGGAUGACCAAAAUGUGAAUGCUUCACAUGUGGCCCAUACAUAUACAGCCACCAAACUAGAUAAGAUGGAUGAAGCAAAGAAGUGCAGGCCGACAGGAACCAGAUGUAGAUCUCUCCUGAGAGACACAGCCAGAAUACUGCAAAUACAUAGGCAAAUGCCAGCAGCAAACCACUGAACUGAGAAUGGGACCCCCGUUGAAGGAUUCAGAGAAAGGACUGAAGGAGCUUGAAGGGGCUUGAGAUCCCAUAUGAACAACAAUGCGGACCAACCAGAGCUUCCAGGGACUAAGCCACUACCCAAAGACUAUACAUGGACUGACCCUGGGCUCCAACCUCAUAGGUAGCAAUGAAUAGCCCAGUAAGAGCACCGGUGGAAGGGGAGGCCCUUGGUCCUGCCAAGACUGAA